AAUUGAAAUCAUUCUCCACUCAAACCCUAAAUCAUUCUUUCAGCCGUUUCUCUCUGGCUUCACUCUACAUCCUCUUCAAAUCAAACUUGGAUCCAUGGAUUAUUUUCAAUGAAGAAUCUAACUGAUGUUGGUAAUACUGAUUCGUUUUAUAGUGAAUCGGGGAUUCUUCCAUCAUUUUCUUGAUUUGAUUAUCCUUAACUUGAUAUGCUUUAGCUGAAUGUUUGAUAUCCCUCUCUAAUUGCGAAGCAUUGAUACGACUCCAUCAUACAUCGAUUUUGUCUUCAUCAUCCUUCGAAACUGAAGCAUCACAUCAGUGGUCGUAUUCUGACAAAAGGCUUCCGGCUACAAGUGGCAGCUCCCGGUGCAUAAAGGCAGCAUUGAGUGUUUGUUUAAUGGUGGAAAUGGAGAAUCUGGCAACCCAGACAGCAGAGCCGACUGAUUUAGGGACCAGCUAUGUUAAUCCAGCAAGCACGGUUAUCAUGUUCUUUGUUCCAAUUUGCUAGAUCCAGAGUUUAAACAUUGGCUGAUAUUUAUUAUUCUUGUGUUUAGAGGCGUUGGUGUUGAUUAAGAUAAGAUAAUUUUUAUUGUGUCUAACUGUAUUAACCAUAUAAAAACUUUAUAUAUAUACAGUAAGUUACUACUUGUUUGAUUCCGCUUGAUGAAUAAUGUUGUAUGUUGCUUGACUAGGUUGCUGGACACUUCACGUAUGGUGUAAUGGCAAUUUCGGCUACCACAUUUGUGUUUUGGAGUACUGUUGGUACACGUAUAUUACCGGUCGCUUUUCAGCAAGGAAGUGCCAUGUCAUUAGCAUUGCAGCUCUCAUGCAUCUGAUGAGCAUUUCGAGCUAAAUUCAAAUGAGAAAUGGUCUGAAACCGAUGUACUGAAGCUAGCUGCUGCAGUAGAAUCCAACACACUUCAUCCAAUUGGGAAAGCUAUUCUGGAAGCUGCCCGGGCUGCUAAAUGUUCUAACGUAAAGGCUGAUGAUGGAACAUUUAUGGAAGAACCUGGAUCUGGUGCCGUAGCCUCUUGUGGGAAGAAGAUGGUUUCUGUCGGUACAUUGGAAUGGGUUAGAAGGCAUGGAGUUGCUGAGAAUCCGUUUAUAGAAACUGAAGAAUUUAAAAAUCAAUCAGUUGUGUAUGUCGGGAUAGAUGGUGUGCUUGCAGGUCUUAUUUAUGUUGAGGAUCAGAUAAGAGAAGAUGCUGCAAAAUCAUUCUUGC